AAUUAUUUCUAGUUGGUGAUGAACUAAAAUAUCUUAUUUAGAAUCUUAUUGACUACAAGAAUUAAGUGGGUAAUUGGUUGGAAUGUAACUGUAGAAUUUUAGUUGUAGAGAUUUUGUUGUAUCUGUGUUGGCUACAGCUGUAACUCUUAUUGUUGUAAAAUUAUUGCUGUAAGUUUUUGACUUUAAAUAAUUAUAAAAAAUGAAUUAGUAAAUAUAAUAGUCGUAAAA
rnacentral:sRNA from 1 species